rfam:Chloroflexi bacterium 13_1_40CM_66_19 13_1_40cm_scaffold_4404, whole genome shotgun sequence.
CGUAUAAUCAGCGGUCUGCCCUAGACCGUAGGCGCCGGCGCGAGCCGGCUUAAUUUCCUACCGAGGCACUUGUAAAUGAAGGACAUGUAGAUCCUUCCUGCCUUGAUGUGUCGGGCGGGGAGGAUUUUUUAUUGCCCAA